UACAGAGGGGGGCAAGCGUUAUUCGGAAUUGAUUUGGGCGUAAAGGGCGCGUAGGCGGCUAUCGCAAGUGGAAGGUGAAUACCCUCGGCUUAACCGAGGAACUGCCCUCCAAACUGCGUUGCUUGAGGCCGGGAGAGGUGAGUGGAAUUCCCAGUGUAGCGGUGAAAUGCGUAGAUAUUGGGAGGAACACCAGUGGCGAAGGCGAGUCCCUGGACAACUCCUGACACUGAGCACGAAAGCUAGGGGAGCAAACAGG
rnacentral:rRNA from 1 species